ACAAACCUUCCCCCUCCCCUUUCCCCGUUUCCCCCUCUCCUCCUCUCCCCUCCACCCAUCCAUUGUUCUCCUCCAAACCUCACCCAUCCCAUUUCCGCCCCUCCACCCCCUCACCUCCCCUCUUCCAUUACCCACCCCUACCCCUCCACUCCAUCCCCUCUCUUGCCUCCAUCGCUGUCCCUCCCUCUUCAACCCUUCUCCCCCAUAUCCCUCCUCACCUCUCACCAACUCCUUCUCCCAUCCCUCCUCCCUACCUCUUUCUCCUCUCACCUCACCCCAUCCAUCCCCUCUAACUUCACUUUCAUCCAACCUCUCCCUUCUCCACCUCUCCCCCCAUGCCUUCAUCUCUCCCUCCAUCUCUCCAUGCCUCUAGCUGAUAAGCAGCAGGGUGGCUCCAGUGGCGUGGUGAUAGCCGUGGUGGUGUGUGUCCUAAUGCUGCUGCUGCUGGUGGCACUCCUAUACUUCCUCAACAAGAAGGGCAAGCUGCCCUGCAGCAAGAAGGACAAUAAGGAAGUGGCAAGUGGGGAUGUGAAUAAUGACAUUGUGGUGGAGAUGAAGACAGAAAAGGCCAAUGAAGAGGCUGGCCUCCUGAACAAGCCAGGAGCACAGCAGGUCAGAGGGGAGGGGUCGCUGGCGGGACGGUAGUGGUAGGAGAAGGGGGGAUUGGUUUAUAUGUUUAUAUGCACAGUUCUUAAAAACUAAACUGCCAAUAAUGCCAAGAGUAUGCAAAGCUGUCAAGGCAAAGGAUGGCUACUUUGAAGAAUCUCAAAUCUAAAAUAUAUUUUGAUUUGUUUAACACAUUUUUAAAGUUACUACAUGAAUCCAUGAAGUAACAUUGACUGGUUCUCUCUCUCUCUCUCUCUCUCUCUCUCUCAUAUAUUUAUAUAUAUAUAUAUAUAUAUAUAUAUAUAUAUAUAUAUAUAUAUAUAUUUAUAUACACACACACACAGUGGGGCAAAAAAGUAUUUAGUCAGCCACCAAUUGUGCAAGUUCUCCCACUUAAAAAGAUGAGAGAGGCCUGUCAUUUUCAUCAUAGGUACACUUCAACUAUGACAGACAAAAUUAGAAACAAAAUCCAGAAAAUCACAUUGUAGGAUUUUAAUGAAUUUAUUUGCAAAUUAUGGUGGAAAAUAAGUAUUUGGUCACCUACAAACAAGCAAGAUUUCUGGCUCUCACAGACCUGUAACUUCUUCUUUAAGAGGCUCCUCAUGUUGUGGGGGUACUUUGUUGCAGGAGGGACUGGUGCACUUCACAAAAUAGAUAGUUUUCAAUCCUCAUGAUUCUAUGUGGAUAUAUUGAAGCAACAUCUCAAGGCAUCAGUCAGGAAGUUAAAGCUUGGUUGCAAAUGGGUCUUCCAAAUGGACAAUGACCCCAAGCAUACUUCCAAUGUUGUGGCAAAAUGGCUUAAGGACAACAAAGUCAAGGUAUUAGAGUGGCCAUCACGAAGCCCUGAGCUCAAUCCUAUAGAAGAUUUGUGGUCAGAACUGAAAAAGUGUUUGUGAGCAAGGAGGCCUACAAACCGGACUCAGUUACACCAGCUCUGUCAGGAGGAAUGGGUCAAAAUUCACCCAAUUUAUUGUGGGAAGCUUGUGGAAGGCUACCUGAAACAUUUGACCCAAGUUAAACAAUUUAAAAGCAAUGCUACCAAAUACUAAUUGAGUGUAUGUAAACUUCUGACCCACUGGGAAUGUGAUGAAAGAAAAUAAUGCUGAAAUAAAUCAUUCUCUCUACUAUUAUACUCUCUACUACUAGACAUUUCACAUUCUUAAAAUAAAGUGGUGAUCCUAACUGACCUAAGACAGGGAAUUUUUACUAGGAUUAAAUGUCAGGAAUUGUGAAAAACUGAGUUUAAAUGUAUUUGGCUAAGGUGCAUGUAAUCUUCCGACUUCAACUGUAUAUAUGUAUUUAAAUAUUAUAUUAUUUAUAAAAAUGCUGGAAAAACACAAGGAAAUCAACUCCAAGUAAUUUUUAUUGAAGAAGUUCCCAAGUAUUCCCCAUGAAUAAUAGAGAGACACGUGAUUGUAUACAAAUGUAUGGAAGGUUUGAAAUGAUAAUGUUUUAGUCAAACAUUAUAUCUGUUUGGGCUUAUUGAGGUCAAUAUGCAGUCUACAAAUGACUUGUAAUUACGUUUUGGCCCCCCGACCAUCCGCUCAGUACAAAAUCAGCCAGUGGUUGAAUCUAGUUGAUGAUCCCUGACUUAUAUAAUAUCACGAUGUUGUAUUUGACUCACAGGAUUUACUGGUGCUUUGUGUUGUCUUCCACAGUGAGGAACAGAGGAGAAUAUGACACAAGAAGACAGAAAGAGAGGGAUGAAGGGAUGGAUGAAAAACGACAGCAGGGCUUGUCGGACUGAGGGAGAAAAGACGGUGGAAUGGAAGGGUGUUUUUGUAGGGAUGCGGGGAACCUGUUGGGGGAGGGGGGGGGUAUUUAAACAUGAGACCUAAUACAUCACUGAACAUCAUCAUGACAUUAUCAGAGUGUAAUCCCUUUCCACCAAUCACAACUCUUGGUUGACAACUCUCACAACUCUUGGUGUAGAAUAGAGCUGUACAGUAAACGUGUCCAACAUGACUCUAGCCACAGUAACUCUACCCCAAUCCAAACAGAAAAUGCCAUUGUGUUGCAGGAGUGUAUGUGCGUGUGAGCGUGUGUUUGUGAGUGUGUGCUGUAUUGCUUUGUGUAUCUGAGCUGUGGGUUGUUCUUCGUUCAGUCAGUGUAGAACUGGAUGUGUCUGUUCUGUGUGGAGUCUGCAUCUAGCCCAUUCUGAUGGACAUGGGGAAAACACAAACUGUCAUCCUACUCUAUUCAUCCCUAUGCUGAUUAUUGUGUCACUCUGAAUUCUAUCCCGUAACAUAGAGAUUGACCGUGCCUACUGUUACAUCAAACUUAAUGAUCAUAUUGCAGAUGUGCUUUCUGACAAACCUUUUCAGUCAAACAGGGCAAGCAAGGCCCACUUAUACAAGUCAAAAGUCAUUCCAGCCUAAAUCCACUCCGGCCUUCUGAUAAGAGCCUAUACUGUAUAUAAUUCUAGACUGUUCUAAGGAGGAACUUACCCCUAUCUCCCUGUUUGCUUUGGUCCUGGCCAGAGUCCUCUCUUUACAGGAUGACAUGAAAUAGAAGACUCUAGUCCCUGUGUAUCAAUUCAUUGUUUAGUUUUUCAUUUCAAAUCUAGAAUGUUUAUUCAUUUAUUCAAAUUCCUUUCAGCUGUUACCUUAGCAACAGCCGAGACAAUUUCUAACUUCCUGAUCCCUUCCUGUGUAAAUGUAUUUUUUUCUCAAACCAAAAAGCAACAAAAAUACAAGCUAUUCGGUGUACAAAUUAGUUCCAAAAUGUUGACGAAAUGUUUAUUAUGUAUCAGGUCAUUUGUUUUAUUCUUUUUGUUGCUCUGUCUCUGCAAAUGGAAUACUGUAUAACCUGUCAAUCAAAUGGAGGCUUACUGCAUACGUGAGGUGAAUCUGAAUGAAUCUGUGUGUGUUUACUGUGUCGUUAGAGACCUGACCCUGCUACAGCGCUCGCCGUAUUUCAUAGCCUACUGUCCUUCUCUGAGCAAAGCCAUUUUCAGAAACACAACACUCCCUGUUACGCUCAGCUCACCCAAUUAUCAUCCCCUAGCUCUGGAAAAUUGGAGUAACCUGGCAAAAUGGGGAACGUUUUUGUCCUCCGUUGACAAUCUGAAAUCUCUGCCAGCUGCACUACCAUUUCCUUCAGUACAGAUUGGCUUUGCAGGCCGGAGGGGUUAGCAACACAGUGAGCACAGAUUCACCUGCGAACGUCACAGACACAGGUUAGUCACAGCUUGAUGAGGGAGAGAGGGAGGGGAGCAGGGGAGGCGAGAGGGGGUAGAGUGUGGGGGUGAGGUGGGAGGGGAGAAGGUGUAGAGUGUGGGGUUGAGAUGGGAGGGUGUAGAGUGUGGGGAUGAGGUGGGAGGGUGUAGAGUGUGGGGAUGAGGGGAGAGGGGGUAGAGUGUAGGGGUAAGGUGGGAGGGGAGAGAUUUUUUUUUACCAAAAUAAGUUGAGUUAUUGAGUGUCUUAGUGGGGGUGUUCCAAUGUUUUGGUGCGCAUUUGGUGUCUGUCUCUCUCUGCCUCACACGCUUUUUGAUACUACCUAUAUUGGCAGCACAAAGAUAUAUGAGAGCUGGUUGCAGGGUCCUCUAUCAUGGGUAUACACUGGAAAGAAUUGCCUUCUGAACAGGUCACUAUAACCACUAUCGUUUUUUCUGGGAAUCAUUUGUUUUUUCCAAUGGUGUUUAUAUGUCUAGUGAUUUAAGAAAUCUAUAUUUCCAUAACUUAAUGAGUGUUCUGACUCCUGCGAAGUUAGGGGGAGACCAACAGGUGCAUAUUUUCAACUUUGGAAUGCUUGGUUUUAUUUGUCCCCCAAAAAAUAUAAAUUGAUAUAAAAUAAGUGUUUUCUUUUUUCUUUUUGAUUCCUGCACUUCAGAACUACUGAGUUGUGACUUGUGUUGUUUUGUGGGUUUUCCACUGGUUCUAAGAGAAGAGAGAAAGGUUUGAAUUAGGAUUCUUGUCUUGCUAUACAUAUGUGAGUGCUUUUUUCUCUUCCUGCUAUACUGUAUAUUUGGUGGUAUGCUGUUCUGUUGUGAGUUCUGUACUUUGUUCUUGUAUCUUCUUAUUGAACUGUGUAGAAUUUAUAACAACUGAAAACCCAAGAAAAAACAACCAAACUCCCACAAUCUCUGUGUGUGUUUCAUUUUUGUGUGUGUCUGUGUGUGUUGACUGUUAGUGUAGAGGUAUAGGCCACCUCAGCUGGAUUCUGUGAGCUCUGGCAGGUUGCCGUUGUACUGUGGGCUUCUGGCUCUCUGGUUCUAUCAGCAGGGAUGUUGUCCCUUCUUCCAUCUGCCAAGCAUCCAUUAGGAAAUUACACUGACCUGCAGAAUGGGAAGGAUUUGCGUUUAGAACAUUAAGAGAGAGAAUGAGGGGGGAAGGACUGAGAUGAGGCUCUAAAGUGUGUGUGUGUGUGUGUGUGUGUGUGUGUGUGUGUGUGUGUGUGUGCGUGCGUGCGUGCGUGCGUGCGUGCGUGCGUGCGUGCGUGCGUGCGUGCGUGCGUGCGUGCGUGCGAGAGAGAGAGAGAGAGAGAGAGAGACAGAGAGAGAGAGAGAGAGAGAGAGAGAGAGAGACAGAGAGAGAGAGAGAGAGGGCCAAUCAAUCAAAUUGAAAUAGCUUUGUUUCUAUUUACUGUGGUUUACAGUGUGUCCACCUCUAGUGCUUUUUGCUUCAGUAUUGUCACCAAUGUUAUUGUGUAUGAUCUGUGUAACCAUGCCUACCCUGGCCCCAAGGCUUUAAUACUGUCUGAGUUUAGCUACAGUGACGCUAAUCUGAUUUAGCCAUUUACCAUCAGCCUAUUGAGAAAUGACAGCCACUGUCCCUAGCUCAUAGCCUAGCCGCUGCAGCCUCCCAGUAACGGUUGGCUAACGGCCAGUCCACACAAACACUCACACACACACACAUACACACUGUGCUGGGACACCACCGCCAGAGCAAACUAGAGACUGAGAUGAUUAGGGAUAUAUAUAAUGAUAGAGAG
ensembl:lncRNA